CUUCGGAGGAGUUACAUGCAAUGGAAUUUGGCCCACUGAGCCUCUGCUAUCUGCUCUUGCAUUACCAUGAAGGAUAAAGGACAGCAACAGCACAUCAGCUUUCCCGACUUCUGGAAUUAACCUCUAGUACAUAUUAGCAGCAGUCUUUUAAGCAGAUUUCACAGAGACGUUCAGCACGGUGACUGUGGGGCGAGGGCUGUGCUCCCACGGAGCCAAGAGGAGAGCUCUUGGCGUGAGGUGUGCGGUGCAGCCCCUUCGCCGGACAGUGCUAACAAGGUAGCACAAUCAGCUGCCAGGCCCUUGGAAAGCAUCUGCGCUUCUGGUAGCAAGUAUGUUGUCAGUGUGCGAGGGUCUGAACUCCUGACAUCUCCAUGAGUGCAGGUGUCCACAUCAUGAAAGGAACACAACAAACUGCUGAGACAAAUUCAGUGACCAGCCACAGAGGGUGAACUCCCCUCUACCUUGCUUCAUGCUGAUUCACUCAGGACAGAAGGAAAGUAGUUUCUUUCUUGGACAAACUGUAUCUGUAGCCGUUGUGCCAGUGACACCGACUUAGAAGCUUUCAGUCUGGCAGUUGCAUAAUCGUGAAGUGUACCUGCAGAAUAGGUCCCAGAAAGCCUUUCAUUCAUAUGGACAAAGAGAUACAUCUUGUUGUUUCACUCCAUCUCUCAAGUUACCAGCUGGACAACCAUGUGAUCUCCACCAUAACACAGCGUUUUCUAUGUGACUCCAAGAAUCAAGAAGCUGAUUCUUCCCAUCGAUCAGCUUUCUGCUAUAAUCAGGUGGGAAGGUGUGCACCAGUGCUGCCUGGCCAGAGUGUUGCUGGGAAAUGUAGUUUGGCUGAGGGGCAAAGUCCCCAACAAAGACUGGGAAGGGGAGACACUUGAGACCUUCCGAGUGCUGUGAUGGCCCUUCAGAAUGUUUGACAUGGUCAUGAGGAGAUGUGGGAUGAUUCAUGCUUCCUGUCAGCUCUGCUUAGUUGGGAAGGGGAGAGGGCACCUGGGGACCGCUGGAAUCGGACACUGUGGGUGGAGGGAGUAGCGCUGCAAUCUCCUGCUAACAAACAGUUCAGCUGAGUCCUAGGAGACCAAUUUAGAGGAAGAAGAGCUGACUGAGCCCAGCACACUGGUCUGCAAAGCUGAAAGGGGCCUCCUCCCACUGGGAUGCUCACAUGCUCAUGCACUCCCACACUCUCAAAAUGGAGAAGUGGUCAAAAUGGAGAAAAGGAUGAUGAUAAUCUGUGGAGGCAGUUCAGAUGUUUCAUAGCAGUCCCUGGACACAGACAGCAAGGUGGAGCUGCGCCAAGUCAAGACACCUACAGUUUUUUACAAGCAAUCUUACCCUAACAUACCAGCACUCCUGUGCUUCUGUUUUGACCUGCUGGAGUAUGUAUAAUCGAUGUAGGGUCUGAGAAAGUCAUCUGACAUCAGCAUAAGUAAAAUAUUAAGCUCUC